rnacentral:rRNA from 1 species
GAUGAACGCUGGCGGCGUGCUUAACACAUGCAAGUCGAACGAAGCAUUUAGGACAGAUUACUUCGGUUUGAAGUUCUUUAUGACUGAGUGGCGGACGGGUGAGUAACGCGUGGGUAACCUGCCUUGUACUGGGGGAUAGCAGCUGGAAACGGCUGGUAAUACCGCAUAAGCGCACAAUGUUGCAUGACAUGGUGUGAAAAACUCCGGUGGUAUAAGAUGGACCCGCGUCUGAUUAGCUAGUUGGUGAGAUAACAGCCCACCAAGGCGACGAUCAGUAGCCGACCUGAGAGGGUGACCGGCCACAUUGGGACUGAGACACGGCCCAGACUCCUACGGGAGGCAGCAGUGGGGAAUAUUGCACAAUGGAGGAAACUCUGAUGCAGCGACGCCGCGUGAGUGAAGAAGUAAUUCGUUAUGUAAAGCUCUAUCAGCAGGGAAGAUAGUGACGGUACCUGAAUAAGAAGCUCCGGCUAAAUACGUG